rnacentral:rRNA from 1 species
GACGAACCGAGCGACCGUUGUUCGGAAUCACUGGGCUUAAAGGGCGCGUAGGCGGGCUGUCAAGUCUGGGGUGAAAUCCCGCGGCUCAACCGUGGAACUGCCUCAGAUACUGACGGUCUCGAGGGGGAUAGGGGCGAGCGGAACUAAUGGUGGAGCGGUGAAAUGCGUUGAUAUCAUUAGGAACUCCGGUGGCGAAGGCGGCUCGCUGGAUCUCUUCUGACGCUGAGGCGCGAAAGCUAGGGGAGCAAACGGG